AUGGAAUUCUUACCCCGGCCAUAUCAGAUAAAAUAUACUAGCUACAACAGCAAUGCAAAGAAUAAUAAGGACCCAGUCGAUACCUGGAAUAAUAAGCAUCCAGGUAUCGACUGGGUCCUUAUUAUUCUUUGCAUUGCUGUUGCUUCAGGGUUUGAAAAUCAAGAUCUGAUUGAAAAUGCUAAUGUGAUGAGAGACAAAGCAAGAAUGACACAAAAGAAUGAGGAAGGAAGAAACAAUCCUGUAAAAACAGCCCCACGAUCAGAUUGGACAGUGGUGCGAUGCAUGCCAAAGCCAAAAGGAAAAUAG